rnacentral:rRNA from 1 species
CAGGUGGUCAGGUAGAGAAUACCAAGGCGCUUGAGAGAACUCGGGUGAAGGAACUAGGCAAAAUGGUGCCGUAACUUCGGGAGAAGGCACGCUGAUAUGUAGGUGAAGCGACUUGCUCGUGGAGCUGAAAUCAGUCGAAGAUACCAGCUGGCUGCAACUGUUUAUUAAAAACACAGCACUGUGCAAACACGAAAGUGGACGUAUACGGUGUGACGCCUGCCCGGUGCCGGAAGGUUAAUUGAUGGGGUUAGCGGUAACGCGAAGCUCUUGAUCGAAGCCCCGGUAAACGGCGGCCGUAACUAUAACGGUCCUAAGGUAGCGAAAUUCCUUGUCGGGUAAGUUCCGACCUGCACGAAUGGCGUAAUGAUGGCCAGGCUGUCUCCACCCGAGACUCAGUGAAAUUGAACUCGCUGUGAAGAUGCAGUGUACCCGCGGCAAGACGGAAAGACCCCGUGAACCUUUACUAUAGCUUGACACUGAACAUUGAGCCUUGAUGUGUAGGAUAGGUGGGAGGCUUUGAAGUGUGGACGCCAGUCUGCAUGGAGCCGACCUUGAAAUACCACCCUUUAAUGUUUGAUGUUCUAACGUGGGCCCCUUACCGGGGUUGCGGACAGUGUCUGGUGGGUAGUUUGACUGGGGCGGUCUCCUCCUAAAGAGUAACGGAGGAGCACGAAGGUUGGCUAAUCCUGGUCGGACAUCAGGAGGUUAGUGCAAUGGCAUAAGCCAGCUUGACUGCGAGCGUGACGGCGCGAGCAGGUGCGAAAGCAGGUCAUAGUGAUCCGGUGGUUCUGAAUGGAAGGGCCAUCGCUCAACGGAUAAAAGGUACUCCGGGGAUAACAGGCUGAUACCGCCCAAGAGUUCAUAUCGACGGCGGUGUUUGGCACCUCGAUGUCGGCUCAUCACAUCCUGGGGCUGAAGUAGGUCCCAAGGGUAUGGCUGUUCGCCAUUUAAAGUGGUACGCGAGCUGGGUUUAGAACGUCGUGAGACAGUUCGGUCCCUAUCUGCCGUGGGCGCUGGAGAACUGAGGGGGGCUGCUCCUAGUACGAGAGGACCGGAGUGGACGCAUCACUGGUGUUCGGGUUGUCAUGCCAAUGGCACUGCCCGGUAGCUAAAUGCGGAAGAGAUAAGUGCUGAAAGCAUCUAAGCACGAAACUUGCCCCGAGAUGAGUUCUCCCUGAGACUUAGAGUCUCCUGAAGGAACGUUGAAGACGACGACGUUGAUAGGCCGGGUGUGUAAGCGCAGCGAUGCGUUGAGCUAACCGGUACUAAUGAACCGUGAGGCUUAACCUUACAACGCCGAAG